rnacentral:rRNA from 1 species
CCUACGGGAGGCAGCAGUGGGGGAUAUUGCACAAUGGGGGAAACCCUGAUGCAGCGACGCCGCGUGUGGGAAGACUGUCCUCUGGAUUGUAAACCACUGUCCCCAGGGACUAAGAUGACGGUACCUGGGGAGUAAGCUCCGGCUAACUACGUGCCAGCAGCCGCGGUAAUACGUAGGGAGCGAGCUUUGUCCGGAAUUACUGGGUGUAAAGGGAGCGUAGGGGGGUCUGAAAGUUGGGUGUAAAGUCUACCGGCGAAACCGGUAGCCGCACUCAAAACUGGAGGUCUUGAGUGAAGUAGAGGUAGGCGGAAUUCGUAGUGUAGCGGUGAAAUGCGUAGAUAUUAGGAGGAACACCAGUGGCGAAGGCGGCCUGCUGGGCUUUUACUGACGCUGAGGCUCGAAAGUGUGGGGAGCAAACAGGAUUAGAUACCCGAGUAGUC